UUGAGGCUGUUUUUAGAAUUGGAAAUCGCAUCAAUGAUGGAACAUUCCGUGGUGGUAUACAAGCAUUUAAACUUGACAUGCUUCUGAAAUUAUCAGAUAUAAAGGGAACAGAUGGAAAAAUGACACUCUUGCACUUUGUUGUUCAUGAGAUAACAGAUGAUGCGCUUGUAUAUUCUCAUACACAAGUCAAGAACUAAAAAUAUGACAAUGAUACUAAGAUUGGACACUGAUUGCCUUGAUCUUUAGUUCCAUUAGUCUAUGACUUCUAAAUAAUAUAUUAACUCCAUCUCAAAAAAUAUUGUAGGCUGCUCGCACAGAACUCCAGAAAAGUAGGUCGUUCCUCAAACUCCUUGAGGCCGUUCUUAAAACUGGAAAUCGCAUGGAACAUUCCGUGGCGGUGCACAAGCAUUUAAACUUCACAUGCUUCUAAAAUUAUCAGAUGUAAAGGGAACAGAUGGAAAAAUGAUACUCUUGCACUUUGUUGUUCAUGAGAUAAUCCAUUCAAGAGGUAUACGAGCAGCCCGGGCAACCAAACAGAGCGAGAUAACAUCCAGCAUCAAAUCUGAUGAUUAACCUGAGGAUUCUUGUCAAGACUCAGACGAGCAUUAUAGAAGCAUUGGCCUGCAGAUUGUAUCAGGUCUGGCUGGUGAGCUUGAAAUGUAAGGAGUUGCAAUGUUAGAUGCUAACGGCUUAGUACGAAUGGUUGCCAAGCUUGCUCAGUCAAUCAUUGAAGCCUGGGUUUUCUAAAUUUUGAAAUGAAGAAUAUAGCAAAAGAAAAUGGGUUCUGCCAGACUACAAAAAGUUUUGUGCAGAAUGCUGAGGUUGAUGUUGCAUGGUUACUUGAGGAAGAGAAAAGAAUAAUGGCUCUAGUGAAGAGCACAGCGGAUUAUUUCCAUGGAAAUGCAGGGAAAAAUGAGGGGUUACGAUUAUUUGUUAUUGUUUAGGAUUUUCUGAUGAUUUUAGACAAGGUAUGUCAAGAAGUGAAAAAUGCACCGAUAAAACCAAAUAGGACACAUCGGAAAGAAGAGUUUGCGGUGACUUCUACUGAUCUCCGCCAGAAUCCUCCCAUUGAUCCUCGUCAAUGGUUGUUUCUAGCUAUUUUAGAUAGGCGGAUGGACAGUUCUAGCUCGGAUCAUGACUUGUAGUAAUUUAAUCAGAACAUGUAUAAUAAAUCGCUCCAUCAAAUAUUAUAGUAUCAAAUCUAGGGAACUAUAAGAUGACUGAUAAUUUUCUUCGUAUUCCCAUUUAUUCAA
rnacentral:lncRNA from 1 species